GACGAACGCUGGCGGCGUGCUUAACACAUGCAAGUCGAACGGAAAGGCCCUGCUUUUGUGGGGUGCUCGAGUGGCGAACGGGUGAGUAACACGUGAGUAACCUGCCCUUGACUUUGGGAUAACUUCAGGAAACUGGGGCUAAUACCGGAUAGGAGCUCCUGCUGCAUGGUGGGGGUUGGAAAGUUUCGGCGGUUGGGGAUGGACUCGCGGCUUAUCAGCUUGUUGGUGGGGUAGUGGCUUACCAAGGCUUUGACGGGUAGCCGGCCUGAGAGGGUGACCGGCCACAUUGGGACUGAGAUACGGCCCGGACUCCUACGGGAGUCAGCAGUGGGGAAUAUUGCACAAUGGGCGGAAGCCUGAUGCAGCAACGCCGCGUGCGGGAUGACGGCCUUCGGGUUGUAAACCGCUUCCGCCUGUGACGAAGCGUGAGUGACGGUAAUGGGUAAAGAAGCACCGGCUAACUACGUG
rnacentral:rRNA from 1 species